AGCGAACGUUUGCGGCGGGCCUAACACAUGCAAGUCGAACGCACUAGCAAUAGUGAGUGGCGCACGGGUGCGUAACACGUGGGUAAUCAACCCUUCAGCCUGGGAUAACGACUCGAAAGGGUCGCUAAUACCGGAUACGGCGCGAGAGGCUUCGGCUUCUCACGAGAAAGCCACGCAAGGGGGCACUGAAGGACGAGCCUGCGGCCCAUCAGCUAGUUGGUGAGGUAAGAGCUCACCAAGGCUAAGACGGGUAGCUGGUCUGAGAGGAUGAUCAGCCACACUGGAACUGAGACACGGUCCAGACUCCUACGGGAGGCAGCAGUGGGGAAUAUUGCGCAAUGGGCGAAAGCCUGACGCAGCCACGCCGCGUGAGCGAUGAAGGCCUGGGUCGUAAAGCUCUGUGGGAGAGACGAAGAAAGACCCGUGAAGAGCGGGCCGUUGACGGUAGUCUCCUUA
rnacentral:rRNA from 1 species